rnacentral:lncRNA from 1 species
GCGAUUUCUUGGAUAAAUUCAUACGUUAUAAGUCGUAGAGGCCUACAGUCUUUUGAUAUGAAGUCCUUGGUCCAUUUGAAGGAAAUUGAGGUCAAGGUCAGGUUCUAAAUUUUGAAUUUUGCUUGUUAUCGUUAUUCCACAGUAACUGUGACAGUAAAUGAUAUGAUGUGUUUGCCAAAUAACUGUUUACAAUAAGGCGCAACUUCAACCUAUUUCAGUCAAAGUGUUUUGGUUAACCCUUAUACAAGUUUUCUCCCCUUAUGUAUUUGAAAUCAGUAUUUCUCCAC